rnacentral:rRNA from 1 species
AGCGAACGCUGGCGGCAUGCCUAACACAUGCAAGUCGAACGAACUCUUCGUAGUUAGUGGCGGACGGGUGAUUAACACCUGGGAACUUGCCCGUAGGUUCGGUACAACUCAGUUUAACUUGUCCUAAUGCCGCAUGUGCCCUUCCGGGGUAAGAGUUAUCGCCUUUAGCGCGGGGCUCGUCUGAUUAGCGAGUUGGUGAGGUAAAGGCGCACCAAGGACACGAUCAGGAGCUGGUCUGGGAGGAUGAUCAGCCACAUUGGCACUGCGACACGGCCCAACACGGUACGGGAGGGAGGGGUGGGGAGUAUUGCGGAAUGGGCGAUAGUGUGACGACGCCAUGCCGGGUGAAUGGUGAAGGUGUUAGGAUUGUGCAAUUCUUUCAGAGGGGACGAUAAUGACGGUAACGGGAGAAGAAGCACCGGCUAACUUCGUG